AUACUUACCUGGCAGGGGCGAUACCAUGAUCACGAAGGUGGUUCACCCAGGGUGAGGUUCUGCCAUUGCACUUGGGUGGUGCUGACCCUUGCGAAUUCCCCAAAUGCGGGUAUCUCGACUGCAUAAUUUCUGGUAGUGGGGGACUGCGUUCGCGCUCUCCCCUG
rnacentral:snRNA from 1 species